GGGACGAACGCUGGCGGCGUGCUUAACACAUGCAAGUCGAGCGGUAAGGCCUUUCGGGGUACACGAGCGGCGAACGGGUGAGUAACACGUGGGUGAUCUGCCCUGCACUCUGGGAUAAGCCUGGGAAACUGGGUCUAAUACCGGAUAUGACCUGCUCUCGCAUGGGGGUGGGUGGAAAGAUUUAUCGGUGCAGGAUGGGCCCGCGGCCUAUCAGCUUGUUGGUGGGUAAUGGCCUACCAAGGCGACGACGGGU
rnacentral:rRNA from 1 species